rnacentral:tRNA from 1 species
GCCUGGGUGGCUCAGUUGGCUGAGCAUCUGAUUUCGGCUCAGGUCAUGAUCUCACUGUUUGUGGGUUCCAGCCCCACAUCAGGCU